GUGGGCAUUUUCGCUGGAGCGAAGAAACUGCGCCACAAGACAAAACGGGGUUAUUAUCUCCCCACUGUGCCGCUGCCACGCCCCCUGUGCAACGCCCUAGUCUGGGCAUAUAUAGUCAUUCAUCUAUUUUCCACCAGGUAGUCAGAUGCUGUUGUUGGCUGCUGUUGCCGUUGUCAUUGUCGGCGAUCAUAUCAAAGCGGCGCAAAUUUCCUGCCGGCAUACAGAUAAGCAAGAGUGUAGGAGUUCGGGAGCUAAAUAAAAAAGGCACCAAAAACUGAUGGCGAGGGGAGCCUGGCGACAGUGGAAAGCAGAAGGCUCCGAUCCUGACCACUUCCAGGCGACCUAACCUGGCGUCUAUCUAAUUGUUGUCUCCAUACCCUCCGAUAAAUAAAGAAUCGCCCACAUUUUGGACCAACGCUUUUCUGACCGUGUGCCUGCGGACAACCGCUUAGAUGGCGAGCCGGACAAACGGAUGCUUGGAAGGAUGGAUGACUGGGGAAUUGGAUUCUCCGAUUGUUGUUGCUGCGAGCGGACGGAAGCUAUCGGCCUGGCGGAAGUGAACGGCCGCCGUUGGCGUUUUGGCCACGUGAUCGGAAGGAAGCGCAACUUGCGAAUUGAAACAUCCGAUGCAGACGACAAGGACAUCGAGAUGUCUCGAUGUCAGCAGCAGCGUACUUCGUCCUACGUCCUUCGGCCUUCUUCCUGCGUGUCCUCGAGUGUCCUCGGGCAAAGUGACACCAAAUUGUCGGCUAAUCUGUCGAUGACUUUCACCCCCGAAAGCCAAAACACCAAAAAACACCCAACCCCUCGAACCAUCAGAUGGGAAAUUUAAUUUGCACCCAACAACGGAUGAAGCAACUGCUCUGAAUACAAAUAUAUGCCACUUUUUUUCGAAUUACUUGUAAACUGAAUUAGGGUAAGCCGUAAUCUGCAAUUCAAAAGUUUUUCAAGGAGAAAUAAAAGGAAUUAUCUAAGCGUAUGGCGAUAGUAGUAACAGUUGUAAUCCUCGGUAUUAUCCUUGCUUUAGUGACAAAUCGAAGUGUUUAUUUAUUAAAUACUAACUUAAGUGAACGUAAAGUAAAAUAAAG